rnacentral:rRNA from 1 species
UACGUAGGGGGCAAGCGUUGUCCGGAUUUAUUGGGCGUAAAGAGCGUGUAGGCGGCCAUACAGGUCAGCUGUGAAACUCGAGGCUCAACCUCGAGACGUCGGUUGAAACCGUAUGGCUAGAGUCCGGAAGAGGAGAGUGGAAGUUCCCGGUGUAGCGGUGAAAUGCGCAGAUAUCGGGAAGAACACCCGUGGCGAAGGCGGCUCUCUGGGACGGUACUGACGCUGAGACGCGAAAGCGUGGGGAGCGAACAGG